GGGAGGUAGUGACAAUAAAUAACAAUACGGGGCCUUUCCGGUCUCGUAAUUGGAAUGAGUACAAUCUAAACCCCUUAACGAGGAACAAUUGGAGGGCAAGUCUGGUGCCAGCAGCCGCGGUAAUUCCAGCUCCAAUAGCGUAUAUUAAAGUUGUUGCAGUUAAAAAGCUCGUAGUUGAACCUUAGGCCCGUGCGGGCGGUCCGUCCUCUGGGCGAGCACUGCCUCGUCGCGGGUCUCACCUUCUGGCGAGCGUGGAUGCCAUUCAUUUGGUGUCUGCGGGAACCAGGACCUUUACCUUGAAAAAUUAGAGUGCUCAAAGCGGGCUCUUACGCUUGAAUACAUUAGCAUGGAAUAAUGAAAUAGGACGACGGUUCUAUUUUGUUGGUUUCCGGGACGGUCGUAAUGAUUAAUAGGGAUAGUUGGG
rnacentral:rRNA from 1 species